CAUUAAUGAGAGAGGAAGUUGAGCUUCUAGAUACCAGAGAGAAGAAAGGCGAAAAAGAAAAGAGUAGAGAUGAUUAAUAUUUAGUGAGAUUACCAUUACGCAAAAUGGCCAUGCGGUUUGUUAAUCCUACAGGCUAUAUGGGUAAUCUAACACUGAUUAACUGUGACAUCUGUGAGGUGCUGCCAGCUGUGUCUGUGCCGCACACGGAGAUGACAGGCCUCUGAUGCCAGCUUGGGUAUGAUUAGGAGGACUACCAUACCAAAAUGCCAGCUGCUGUGACUUUCUACAAGAGCAAUCCCCAACACUAUUGUUGGGACCGUAUGAGUGUGCCAAAAAGCAAUAGUCAGGGUGUCUGAGAUUUAUUACAGAUGAUAGCUUGAGCAGUGAUGUGCAGAGAGUUCUUCAGGGGCAGAGGCUCAAAUGUAAAAAAAGACAAACCGCAGAUCCAGAACGCUCCACAAAUGCAAAUUCGUCUGUCCGAUCUGACUGUAAGAAUGAUGCUCAUGGUCUUUUUUUCUUUUAGGCAUUUCAUAUUUGUAAAAACAAAAAUGAAAACAGGCAGUAGCUACUAUAUAUCAUUUUCAGCCAGUUUAUAA